UGGGGAAUAUUGCACAAUGGAGGGAACUCUGAUGCAGCGACGCCGCGUGAGUGAUGAAGGAAUUCGUUUCGUAAAACUCUGUUCUAUGGGAAGAAAAGGACUGUACCAUAGGAGAAAGCUCCGGCUAAAUACGUGCCAGCAGCCGCGGUAAUACGUAUGGAGCGAGCGUUGUCCGGAAUUAUUGGGCGUAAAGGGUGCGCAGGCGGCUUUACAAGUUGGAUGUGAAAUAUUGUGGCUCAACCACAAACGUGCAUCCAAAACUGCAAAGCUUGAGUUAAGGAUCGGUAAGUGGAAUUCCUGGUGUAGCGGUGGAAUGCGUAGAUAUCAGGAGGAAUACCGGUGGCGAAGGCGACUUACUGGACUUUAACUGACGCUCCGGCACGAAAGCGUGGGGAGCAAACUGG
rnacentral:rRNA from 1 species